GCGGGCAUAGUUUAGAGGUAAAACCUUAGCCUUCCAAGCUAGUGUCGUCGGUUCGAUUCCGACUGCCCGCACCA
rnacentral:tRNA from 1 species